UACGUAGGGUCGCGAGCGUUAAUCGGAAUUACUGGGCGUAAAGCGUGCGCAGGCGGUUCGUUGUGUCGGCGGUGAAAGCCCCGGGCUCAACCUGGGAAUGGCCGUUGAAACUGGCGAACUGGAGUGUGGCAGGAGGGGGGUGGAAUUGCCGGUGUAGUGGUGAAAUGCGUAGAGAUCGGCAGGAACACCAGGUGGCGAAGGCGGUUGCCUGGAGCUUUGCUGACGCUGAGGCGCGAAAGCGUGGG
rnacentral:rRNA from 1 species